GUAGGUGGCAAGCGUUGUCCGGAAUUAUUGGGCGUAAGGCGCGCGCAGGCGGUUCUUUAAGUCUGAUGUGAAAGCCCACGGGCUCAACCGUGGAGGGUCAUUGGAAACUGGAGAACUUGAGUACAGAAGAGGAAAGCGGAAUUCCACGUGUAGCGGUGAAAUGCGUAGAGAUGUGGAGGAACACCAGUGGCGAAGGCGGCUUUCUGGUCUGUAACUGACGCUGAGGCGCGAAAGCGUGGGGAGCAAACAGGAUUAGAUACCCCGGUAGUCCACGCCGUAAACGAUGAGUGCUAAGUGUUAGGGGGUUUCCGCCCCUUAGUGCUGCAGCUAACGCAUUAAGCACUCCGCCUGGGGAGUACGGCCGCAAAGGCUG
rnacentral:rRNA from 1 species